GCUGGGUACACAUAUACUGUAUUUCUGAAUACUGGUAAACUUCGAUGCAAGAUAUACUUAGAAACCUUACAGUCAAGAACAAAGUUGUAGGCAUACGUAUUUAAUAGCUGAAAAACAGCAGGUACCCGAACUCAGUAUAGCAAUAAUUCAAAAUAUCAUUGCCAACAGAUCUGGAGAAAUUGCCAUUGCGUCUUUAGAAUGUCUUCGUCAGACGAGAGAUGCAGUUCCGACUCUGAUUGCUGGUUGCUGUACGUAUCUAUCCACAUAAACGGUCUUGAGAGAGAAUCGUGAAGACACCUCGAAAAGUCAUGCGCGCCGUUUUUUGGGACAGAAAAGGCAUUUUGGUGAUUGAUUUCUUACCACGAGGCCAAACAAUCAAUGCACAUCGUUACUGCAUACCAUUAAGAAAUUGCACUGCACAAUACAGAACAGGCCCUGAGGAUUACUGUCAGAAGUUGUUUUUUUCCAUGAUAAUGCUUGACCUCAAACGGCGAAUGACCAAACGACUCUUAGAGGAAUUUCACUGGGACAUGUUUGACCAUCCUCAGUACAGCCUGGACCUCGCUCCUAGCGACUUUCAUCUCUUCUUACACCUAAAAUCUGUCCUUGGUGGUCAACACUUCAACGCUGAUGGCGAGCUGAAAAAAUAUGUUAGCUAUGUAGAAAUGUAGUUUAACAGCUGUAGAUUUUUGUACAAUAAAUAUUUUUUCUGUAUCUGUA